rnacentral:rRNA from 1 species
GAUGAACGCUGGCGGCGUGCCUAGUACAUGCAAGUCGAGCGAACGGACGAGAAGCUUGCUUCUCUGAUGUUAGCGGCGGACGGGUGAGUAACACGUGGAUAACCUACCUAUAAGACUGGGAUAACUUCGGGAAACCGGAGCUAAUACCGGAUAAUAUUUUGAACCGCAUGGUUCAAAAGUGAAAGACGGUCUUGCUGUCACUUAUAGAUGGAUCCGCGCUGCAUUAGCUAGUUGGUAAGGUAACGGCUUACCAAGGCAACGAUGCAUAGCCGACCUGAGAGGGUGAUCGGCCACACUGGAACUGAGACACGGUCCAGACUCCUACGGGAGGCAGCAGUAGGGAAUCUUCCGCAAUGGGCGAAAGACUGACGGAGCAACGCCGCGUGAGUGAUGAAGGUCUUCGGAUCGUAAAACUCUGUUAUUAGGGAAGAACAUAUGUGUAAGUAACUGUGCACAUCUUGACGGUACCUAAUCAGAAAGCCACGGCUAACUACGUG